rnacentral:ribozyme from 1 species
UGAAGAAGAAGAAACAAGAGAAGGCACCAGCCGUUGUUUCUCUUUUCUCUUCUUCUUCUUCUUCUUCUUCUUCUAUUUUUGUAUGUAUCAGUGCAUUUAUGUUUAAAAAUGAAAUAAAAUUAUAUCGAUAUUCUAAUAAAA